AAACAAACAGAGGUGCAGACCGCCGUCGGGCGAAAGGGAAUCCGGUUCCUAUUCCGGAACCCAGCAUCGGAACCGUUCCAAUCGGGCCCUUAAAGCUCGUCAGGGUAACCUAACAUGCCCCGGAGACGCCGUCGGGAGCUGCCGGGAGAGUUAUCUUUUCUGUAUAAGUGCGCACACCCCCUGGAAGCCUCUAGCAGGGAGAUAGGGGGCAGCGCGCGAAGAGCAUCGCACUUGCGGCGAUGUCGGCAGCGUCCUCUCGGACCUUGAAAAUCCGGGUGAGGGCCACGUGGACAUCCGAUCUGGUUCGUACCCAUAUCCGCAGCAGGUCUCCAAGGUGAAUAGCCUCUAGUCGAUAGAAUAAUGUAGGUAAGGGAAGUCGGCAAAUUGGAUCCGUAACUUCGGGAUAAGGAUUGGCUCUGAGGUUCUAGGUGAGUCGGGCUUGUCAGAGAAGCGGUCGGUUCUUGUGUCGGAUGCCGGGCCUGGGUGAGGUCGAGCCGCAAGGCGAGAUCAAUCCCGGUCCCAGCGCUUCGGCCUACCCCGUGGACCUUUCAAGCUUCAGGGGGCCGUGGAUCACGGCGGCUGGGCAACUGGCCGUCCCGCGCGUCUCCUACGGCCACCAUCUAAAGAACAACUUAGAACUGGCACUGACCAGGGGAAUCCGACUGUCUAAUU
rnacentral:ncRNA from 1 species